AGACAGAAGGUCCGUGGUGUGCGGAUGACGGUACGCACAUGAGACUAGGUGUCUGCAGGGUGUGUGGCAGGGGCCAUGUGAGGCUCAAGGAGCACCUGCCCUCUUCACUGGAGCCCUGCUUGCAGCAUCCUUCUGCCUGGUGACUGCCCACCCCAGCUCUCAGAGGGCAGAGGGUGCCCCGCUACCCGCCAGCACCCUGGGCACAGCAAGCAGGUGCUGGUACAGAGGAAGGAAGUACUUACUGAGCAGCGUCCUCCUUCGGCCAAUGGGCGAUGGGUGCUGUGGCAUGCCCGCUCCUCCUCCUGUUUUCUUCGAAUUCGUUCUUCGAGGUCAGCCCCACGCCCAAGGAUGAUGCAAACUACAGCCUCGGCCUUCUUGGGGAGAGUGGGAAGCAAGAGGGUUCCUGCCAUCUUCAGGAGCCUGGGCCCAGGGUAAGAGGGAGAAGCUGCAAGCCAGACCUGCAGAGGCCCUGGUCCCUCUUCCCAGGAGGCACCAGCUCUGCAGGACACUGAGGUCUGGGGCUGAGGGGAGCAAGACAUCUUCCCUGUUGAGUGCCCUUCCCGCCCUCUCGCUGGGGCUGUUGGGACAUCUGUGAGCGGAAACCACUGGGCUCUGGGCACAGAGCCAGACCCAGGCUGGCAGCCCCGAGAUUGUGGUUCCAGCCCCAGGACUAGCAUCCCCCAGCCCAGCACUCCCUGUCUUCAAUCCCUCAGCAGGCACCUGCUACCAGCCUCACAUCCUAGGUCUCCCACCCACAGGCAGAUCCUGCUCUGCAGACAGGGUCCUUUAGGGGAAACUGGACACUUGGAGCAAGAGAAAAAGAACAUCAGGUUUCAAGCUUUCUGAGCUGCUAUGUAGCCUGACAUAAGUCACUUAACCUGUCUGGGUCCCAGAAACCCAACCUGAGGAAGUCAAAAGCAAAUUUCCCAGCCCACCUCACAGGGCUGCUGCCAUCAUGGACAUAAAAGGCAAAAUCUUUUGAAGGAAAAAGAAAAGACGAAACUCUAAUUCCAAGU